UCCGGUAUGGUGUAACGGCUAACAUUGCCGCCUUUCAUCAGGAAAGAUUACGCGGCAGCUCGGGGUUCGAUUCCCCGUACCGGAA